UUCGUUCUUUGUCCUUUUUCUCACCUUUUAAAGAAGAUGGAGAAGGUUUUGCCGCUCCUGGUGUUACUCGCCAUCUCGCCCUGUGCGCGGUCCCAAAUCCAGCUGGUCCAGUCCGGGCCCGGCGUGGUGAAGCCCGGAGAGCCCCUCUCACUGACCUGCACCGUGUCUGGUAACUCCAUUUCUUCUAACUACGACUGGGCUUGGAUCCGGCAGGCUCCUGGGAAAGGCUUGGAAUAUAUGGGGUAUAUAUACGGACCUAGCCAGGGCACCAACUACGCCCCGGCUUUCCAGAGCCGAAUCACCAUCGCCGCAGACACCGCCAAGAACCAGUUCUUGCUGCAGCUCCGCUCGCUGACAGCUGCAGACACCGGCACCUAUUACUGCGCCAGACACACAGUGACUCAGAGCAAAGCGGGACUGGCACAAAAAGGGGAAGCGGUUGCUAUACAGACAUUCAGGGCAUUUAAUGCUGGGAUUUUCCUCUCAGACACACAGAGACAGGUGCAGAGAAGGAGCGAGAAUCUCUACAAGUGA